UUUAAAUAUUCGGCAAGACAACAAUGAGGAUGAGAAAAACCAACAUAGCAGGAACGCCACGAUGUUGCAAAUACAACAAACUUGCCGGAACUGAUGUGGCAAGAUGACAAUGCGGAGACGUCGCGGGAAUAAAUAUAUAUAUGUAUGUUUCUAUUCAUGCAGUUUAAUUUCUAUCAUUUCUUUCAAUGUUCGACUUGUAUAAUUUUUUAUGUAUGACGAUCUUUAAGUUUCUUUUAAUUAGGCACAAUGCGCAAAUAAAUAUUGAUAAAUUUAAACAAUAACAGCAGUGGCUGGUUUCUUCUUGGCGGCACAGGGGGCACAAAAAAAAAUUCUCUUGCAGCUCUUCUAUAUUUUGGCCAAUAUGUGGCGGGCAAUUGGAGUGGACUCACUCGUGGUCCUCCUGCUACGACAAUGGCAUCUCAACGAUGCUCUCCUACGCUGACGGAAAACUUGGCUCAAUACUGCAGCUGUUAGGCGCACUCUGCCUCGACUCUGUCGGAAGUGGCCACUGCCGUCACUAGGACACACUGGGAGUCGUCGCUGCCAGCAGAUGUUGCAGAGUAAGCGACACGGGGCACAGCUCAUAGAUGGCCUUCGUUAGCGACUGCUCAGUUCACCACAACGAAAGAAUGGAAUUUUUGGAUCGGCACAGGUCGCGGAAACACGUCUUUGAGGACACGGGAGCGUAGAAUUGGAUCUUGCGCCGCUCAGCGUGCAGAAAAACUCGACGAAUCCAGACAAUUUAUCUAAGAAGACACCGUCGCUGACCGCUGUCAAAGUCGAACUCUUGGUCUGCAUAUUCUGCAGCAACGUGGUUUAAUAAAAAAGUUUUCAAUCCCUUUUGCUCCUAUUCAUCCCAACGUUGCUGCAGUUUGAGUCCAAUUUCACUCAAUUGCUGCGAGGGGGCAUAAAGGGGUAUACGCAUAUGCGCUGCUUCUUUUUGAAGUUGCUACCUGUCUUCGUCUAGCAAAACGUAUGGAGCUGCCACACAGACUCUACUCGCCGCAUUUGCCGAUUUUACCUAUCGAUAACUAGAUGAGCGACCCCCCACCCAAGAUCCUAUCCAGCUGGCACAAACGAUAGGCGGCAAAUACAUAACAACUGUUAACUUGAGUGUUCCCAAUGUAUGCAUUAUUAUAAUCUAUAAUAUAGAAUAAUUUGAAGACCAAUUGCAUAGCUUAAACAAUGUUAAAAUUUUCCUUUUCUUUUAUAUAAAAUAAAUGUAAAUGUAUAUAAAAUAAAUGUCUGGACACUGCAUUUUGCUCUGCCGCAGCGCUGCUCGCAUA